rnacentral:rRNA from 1 species
GACGAACGCUGGCGGCGGGCUUAACACAUGCAAGUCGAACGGAAAGGCCCUGCUUUUGUGGGGUGCUCGAGUGGCGAACGGGUGAGUAACACGUGAGUAACCUGCCCUUGACUUUGGGAUAACUUCAGGAAACUGGGGCUAAUACCGGAUAGGAGCUCCUGCUGCAUGGUGGGGGUUGGAAAGUUUCGGCGGUUGGGGAUGGACUCGCGGCUUAUCAGCUUGUGGGUGGGGUAGUGGCUUACCAAGGCUUUGACGGGUAGCCGGCCUGAGAGGGUGACCGGCCACAUUGGGACUGAGAUACGGACCAGACUCCUACGGGAGGCAGCAGUGGGGAAUAUUGCACAAUGGGCGGAAGCCUGAUGCAGAAACGCCGCGUGCGGGAUGACGGCCUUCGGGUUGUAAACCGCUUUCGCCUGUGACGAAGCGUGAGUGACGGUAAUGGGUAAAGAAGCACCGGCUAACUACGUG